UGUGCCUUCACCAGACCUCUGGGGCUGACCUUGGCAGAGGUCACCGUGACCCUGAGGCACUGGCUGUUCUGAAGGCCUUGGGGAAACAGGUGGGUUUCUUCGUUUUCAAGGUUCUGCUAAAGGGGUGGGGCUGCCGGGGGUGGGCGGUGCUUUCGGAAGCUGGCUCUGCUGAUGAUCCUAUUACCUUUCUUCACUGCUGCCGGGAUUCCCAUUACCGGCGCAGGGAGGCCCCAGCUGCUCAGAUCUUCCCGGGUGAGCCCUCAGGAUGCUGCAGUGACCCGGCCAGGGCCCUCCACGGGGAGGCCGAUGAGUAGUGGAGUCGCACCGGCCCAGAGAGCCAAAUGCCACCAUGCUUGAUGCCCGGGGGCUGCACGAGCCCAGAGGAGCUGCCUGACCAGCGCGGGAAGCCGAGAGGGCUUGCUGCUGCUGGGAUGUAAGUCUCAGGUGGGACCUCUCUGUGGCCAUCUGGAGUGGAAAUCAGAGGCUCCACCUUCCAGCCUCGGCCAUCUGAUUUCUCAGCAUGGUUUCAACGUGGGUGGCCUGAGGCUGGGUUCCAGGCCCACCGCGGGGGGCAACGCCCUCCCACACCAAGAUCUCUCCCCUCUAGGGUGAGCCGGGGUAGCAGGCUCCAGGAUUCCACCAUAGGUUCCCAGUAGAUCAGCGUUUCUGCUACCUGUUUGUCAUAGAUUUCCUCCGUGCUUGUUAAACUACAGACUCUCUGGCCCUUUCUAUGAAGACCUGC
rnacentral:lncRNA from 10 species